ACGUAAGGGGCGAGCGUUGUUCGGAAUUAUUGGGUGUAAAGGGCGCGUAGGCGGUCUGGCAAGUCUGGUGUUGAAGGCUACAGCUUAACUGUAGUUUGGCGCUGGAAACUGCUGGGCUUGAGUUUAGGAGGGGGAGCUGGAAUUCCAGGUGUAGGGGUGAAUUCUGUAGGUAUGUGGAAGAACCGCGGUGGCGUAGGCGGGGACCUGGCCAUAGACUGCCGCUGAGGCGCGAAAGUGUGGUGUGAUAACAG
rnacentral:rRNA from 1 species